GCCCCUUUAGCUCAGCUGGUUAGAGCUACGGACUUUUAAUCCGCAGGUCGUGAGUUCGAAUCUCACAGGGGGCACCG
rnacentral:tRNA from 2 species